rnacentral:rRNA from 1 species
UACGCAGGGUGCAAGCGUUGUCCGGAAUUAUUGGGCGUAAAGAGCUCGUAGGCGGUUUGUCGCGUCUGCUGUGAAAUCUGGGGCUCAACCCCCAGCCUGCAGUGGGUACGGGCAGACUAGAGUGCGGUAGGGGAGAUUGGAAUUCCUGGUGUAGCGGUGGAAUGCGCAGAUAUCAGGAGGAACACCGGUGGCGAAGGCGGCUUCCUGGACCGACACUGACGCUGAGGCGCGAAAGCUAGGGGAGCAAACGGG